UACGAGAGGCCCAAACGUUAUUCGGAAUUACUGGGCUUAAAGAGUUCGUAGGCGGCGCAGAAAGUAGGGUGUGAAAGCCCUCGGCUCAACCGAGGAAUUGCGCUCUAAACUACUGUGCUUGAGGAAUCUAGAAGUGAGCGGAAACUGAUGGUGGAGCGGUGAAAUGCGUUGAUAGUCAUCAGGAACACCGGAGGCGAAGGCGGCUCACUGGGGAUUUUCUGACGCUGAGGGAACGAAAGCCAGGGG
rnacentral:rRNA from 1 species